rnacentral:lncRNA from 1 species
CACUGCAUCACUGAUAAAGCUUUUAUUUUCAGCAUUUUAGAAGUGCAUUUCCUGCCAUCUAUGAAUAGGUCUCCAAGCGAUAUGAAUAGGCCCCCAAGAGGGUGCGGCUCAGAACACGGACAAUGCAUCCAGCCUGCUCCUCCUCUCUGUCAGAGAUCAGGCCACCCCGAGCUUUCUGAAAACCAUUCGAGGGAAAGAGGCAAUAAAUAGCCCUAGGAACUCUGCUAAUGCUUGACACCAGGGAAGUCUGAGGUUGACAGCAGGGUUUGGCGUGGGCAGGAUGAGGGGUUGUUGGUGUAAUAGGAUCCUCCUUGCCACUUGGCAGCUGUGCUGGAGCCCUGGAAACGCAGGUGCCACGGACGUCCUCACCGGCUUCUGGGUGGACAGAGCCCCCUUUGAGCAGCAGCUCCUCCUCUCACCCAAAGCACCGCCACAGCCUCCUGCUGCUCCCACCUCUCUGGAGCAUCCUCUUCUCUCGGGCUUGUGCUCCCGGCCCCUGCUGAAGAUGACCAUGGUCUGGGCUUGGCUUCCUGUCUUAAGGAAUUCCCCGGUAACUCAGCUCCAAUGGAGAUGGAGUCCUUCUUCCUAUGUUUAUUGUGUGGGUUUCUGUCUUCUUAUUCUUCAGAUGGACUUCAGGAGAGAUGGACAAGCAUCUCUGCGCUCACUUCUACAAGUGAAUUUGAACUGGACACUCUUGUAACUAGUUUAAAUAUUCGUGGACAACAACUAUUUUGGGUGGAAUUUUUAAUUAUUAAGCACAAGACGUGGCAUUUGAACCUGUGUGGUGUCAUUAACUUCCCAUAAUGACCCUAAGCAGCCCCAUUUUACAAGUGAAGAAGCUGAGAUUCAGAGAGUCUGUGCAUUUGCUUGAAGCUGCAGAGCUUGUAAGUGGUAGACCCAGUAUUUGAACUCAAAUCUUCUAAUUCUCAACUGUGUGCUUUGUGCUACGGGUGAGAACAAAACAAAACUAGCUAUCAUGGGUGGAUAACGAU